UACAGAGGGUGCAAGCGUUAAUCGGAAUUACUGGGCGUAAAGCGUGCGUAGGUGGUUUAAAAAGUCCACUGUUAAAGGUUGAAGCUUAACUUCAAAAAUGCCGUGGAAACUUUUAAACUUGAGUAUGGUAGGGGUAGAGGGAAUUUCCAGUGGAGCGGUGAAAUGCGUAGAUAUUGGAAAGACCACCGAUGGCGAAGGCACUCUACUGGGCCAUUACUGACACUGAGAGACGAAAGCUAGGGGAGCAAAUGGG
rnacentral:rRNA from 1 species